UUCGAUUGAGUUUGAUCAUGGCUCAGGACGAACGCUGGCGGCGUGCCUAACACAUGCAAGUGGAGCGACGAACCGGGCUUCGGCCCGGGGCAAAGCCGCGAGCGGGUGAGUAACACGUGGGUAACCUGCCCUGAUGAUUGGGACAACCCGAGGAAACUCGGGCUAAUACCGAAUGUGCCCUCCGGCCUCAAGGCCGCUGGGGAAAGGAAGCUUCGGCCUCCGCAUCGGGAUGGGCCCGCGGCCCAUUAGCUUGUUGGUGAGGUAACGGCUCACCAAGGCAACGAUGGGUAGCUGGUCUGAGAGGACGAUCAGCCACACUGGGAUUGAGACACG
rnacentral:rRNA from 1 species